rnacentral:rRNA from 1 species
UUGGAGGGCAAGUCUGGUGCCAGCAGCCGCGGUAAUUCCAGCUCCAAUAGCGUAUAUUAAAGUUGUUGCAGUUAAAAAGCUCGUAGUUGAAUUUCGGGAUCAAGGAAUCGGUCAUGCCUUGGUAUGUACUGGUUUUAUUGGUUCUCACCUUCUAAAGAACCAUAAUGUCAUUUAUUUGAUGUUAUGGGGAAUUAGGACUGUUACCUUGAAAAAAUUAGAGUGUUUAAAGCAAGCUUACGCUUGAAUACAUUAGCAUGGAAUAAUGAAAUAGGACAUCAGAUUCUAUUUUGUUGGUUUCUAGGAUCGAUGUAAUGAUUAAUAGGGAUAGUUGGGGGCAUUAGUAUUCAAUUGUCAGAGGUGAAAUUCUUGGAUUUAUUGAAGACUAACUACUGCGAAAGCAUUUGCCAAGGAUGUUUUCAUUAAUCAAGAACGAAAGUUAGGGGAUCGAAGACGAUCAGAUACCGCCGUAGUCUUAACCAUAAACUAUGCCGACUAGGGAUCGGAUGAUGUUAAUUUUUUAAUGACUCAUUCGGCGCCUUACGGGAAAC